GACGAACGCUGGCGGCGUGCUUAACACAUGCAAGUCGAACGGGCCCGCUCUCUUUUUUGGGGGUGGGUUGAGUGGCGAACGGGUGAGUAUCACGUGAGUAACCUGCCCCCUGCUCCUGGAUAACUGCUUGAAAGGGCGGCUAAUACGGGGUGUGCCGGCUGGUCCGCAUGGGCCUGGUCGGGAUAGUUUCAUCUUCGGGUGUUUCGGUGGGGGAUGGGCUCGCGGCCUAUCAGCUUGUUGGUGGGGUGAUGGCCCACCAAGGCGGUGACGGGUAGCCGGCCUGAGAGGGUGGGCGGCCACACUGGGACUGAGACACGGCCCAGACUCCUGCGGGAGGCAGCAGUGGGGGGUAUUGCACAAUGGGCGGAAGCCGGAUGCAGCGACGUCGCGUGAGGGAUGGAGGCCGUCGGGUGGUGAACCUCUUUCUCCGGUGGUGAAGGCCCUGUCCGUUGCGGCGGGGUUGACGGUAGCCGGGUAUGAAGCGCCGGCUAACUACGUG
rnacentral:rRNA from 1 species